UAAAUGGGAUAGAAAGGAAACAUAUUUUAGCAACCCUAUUUAAAUGAGGAAAUGUUUAAUUUCCAAAAUAUAUAUUAUGUUUCCUAAAUCCUAUUCUUGUGACACCUCUCCGCGACUCUACCCUCACGGCGCCGCCCCAUGACUCCUCAAUCGUCGACGCCGCCAUCCUAACAAGUCAUCACACUGCCCUCGUGUGGGGCUAGGUCGACAACGCCGACGUUGUCAGCCGCUGUGGAAGCGCUGAUUUCCCCUUGCAAUUUCUGGCCACGCUGUGCCAUCUCUGCCCGAUGUCGUCUCCUUGCCACUGCUAGCGGUUUCCCUGUCGGGGGCCAUCGUCAGUUGUUGUGGACCAUGGCCCGAGACCUAGGACAUAGUUGAAGUACCGAUCUGUAGCCAUCUCAAGCCAACAGACGAUCUACAGCCAUCUCAAAUCGGCAUACCUCGAGCAGCAAUCCCUGUUGCUGCUGCCUCCACAAGCCGCCAGGAGCCCCUACCAGAGAGGAAGAAACCAUGGGUUAGCAGGUGUAUUGUGUCACUUAGAGGUCCUGGCUGCUAGUCCCACCUCCCACUCGAGAUCGUGUUUUCCAUGUUAUACAUUAUUGCUUUAUAUUUGUACUUAGUUUUGUUCAUGAAUUGUAGUUUGGUAAUGUAUUUUAUUAGGUUGUGAUA